UCAAUGCGCAUUGAACUAGCGUCAGACUUUCUUACGGAAUUUUCAUGAAAAGAAAGCUGUAAACGUUCGAUGGUUGUGCAUUUUCAUAUGUAUAUAUAUAUAUCCAAACGAUUUACUAUUCUAACAGCAUUUCACUUUUGAACAAAUGGAUUAACGUUGUGAAUUUCUUUCUUCAAAUCGAAAGUAAAAUUGGAAUCAUAACAUUUAGCGCUUUAAACAAUAAAUAUGUUUACAGUUUGAGGAAGAGAAUCGAACGGAGACAGUGGGACACUUAUGCAAUACAAACUAUAAAUGCCCAUUGCAGUAAUGGCUAAAAAGACUUUUGAUGUAAUAUUUGUUUUAUCACAUAACUGGGGACAAUAAAAACUAGUAUUCUUAUAAUUGUUUGUUAUAAUUCAGGCCCGUAGCCAGUGUUUUGAAAAGGGUGGUGGUGCGACAGCUCUAGGACACUGUAUGACAAAUUCCUGACUUUCCUGCUGGUAUUGCACUAGGAGGGGAAAUGAAAGACAUGCUUGAAGAAGAAAUAUGUGACCUGACGAACGACGGACAGCAAGCCGAGCAAGAAGUUUGGGGUGCCAGGCAGCUAUUCAGCAUAUUAACCAGUGCAGAUCAGAGGUUGAUGCCAACGUUAAAAUGGUCGUUGAUUGGAUUCUGCAAACGAAAGGUCAUUUGACCGCUGUAACCACAACUCCCGACAUGUAUGGAGACGAUGACCUGCAUUUCUUCUUAGACAUGGAUUUGGGGAUCUUAGGAGCGAGCCGGACAAGUACGGCGAUAUGCCCUACACAUAAAAUCAAUGUCAUUUGUAUUUGAGAUAACACGUAGUAUGCAGAUAUUGAUUUCGAUGUCUUAUUUAAUCGUGAUUUAACGAUGGUGGUAUUAACUUAAUGAAGGAAGCAUGGUACAUUGGUUUGCUUCCUCGCUUCGGUCUUCUUUCUGAUCACUAGAUAAAUUUCCGUUUUCAGUAAUUUUAUUUCUUUCCGCUUGCAUCCGCCGUUCACACAUAUUUUGGAAAAUGUUUGAGUUUUAGUUCGAAAAAAAAUAUAUUUGUCUGUAUGAUUAUUGAGGUUUUAGCUAUGAAUUAUCUUCGAUUUGCAUUUUAGCUGUUUCUGUUCUCUGACUCUUUUGAGUGAAACGGUUCAAAAGCAGACAAAUUAUCUAAAGUGUUUAGCCUUAUCGCUCUAUUAAGCCAAUAGUCUACCGAUCGCCAAUGAAAACGUUCAUAAACACGGCUUUCUGCGCACUUUUAGCGCACUUUCAAUUAGCCUGAAGCUUUUUCGGCGUAGCUGUUUAACCCAGCGUUAUACCUUGGCUUACAUUUGUAAGCUUCCAAUAAAAUAUGGAAAAAAUGCCAGUAGGCCUGAAACUUUUAGACAUAGAAAACGUUAAAUUUACAAACAGUUAUAACAUUUACAUUAAUAGGUAACUGAAUUGACUUUCUAUUUGUGAUGGUUAAGGUAUGCGAAGUCAGCAUGAAAAAAUUGUAUCUCUAUUGAAAAGGCUUGAUGGAUAAAACAGUUUCACACUCAACUCUCGUGAUCAAUACAGUUUGCCCCUUUAUAUUGAUAUAUUUUUAUAUUGUUAUCGCCUGAGCGUUCUCAUAAUAAGUAAUUACUACUAUAUUGCAUUCUGUGAACUAGCAUAUUUUAGAUCGUAUUGCUGUUCCCUAUCGUGCUGUUCGUUUGAACCGAAAUAGUUUAGUAUUGUUUUCGAAAUUUACUGUUUAACAUGUGCAAGUAUUACGUUUCAAACAAGCCAUCGUUCUAUCAGUGGAAUAGGAACCUCAAUUGAAUGCCUUGCAUUCCAUUCGGCACGGUAUCAAGGUCAGCUCGUGUUAACGUGAACUGGACUUUUAUUUUAGAUACAUCAUAGUUGAAGUUAAUCGGCUAAAUCAUUAUGAUAUGUCAAUAAUAGAUUAAUAAUGUGUUAUAAACAAUUCAUUGAUAGGAACUAUGUUUGAUAAAUUUAAUACGAAAUAUUACACCAUAUUGACCAAUUUAUUUUGCAUGAGCGCGAUGAUUACCGAUACCAAUAUUCGAAUCAAAUAACAAUGUCUGUCAAACCACUAAAACAGGUCUGUUCACAGAACGCGCGUAUAAUUGUGUCAAAUAUGUUUGAAUGAUUAGCGUGUGGCCGGUUUAACUAUUUUUAUGUCCUCCUUCGAAGAAGAGGGGGUAUAUUGUUUUGAACAUGUCGGUCGGUCCGUCGGUCGGUUCGUCGGUCCGUCCACCAGAUGGUUUCCGGAUGAUAACUCAAGAACGCUUAGGCCUAGGCUCAUGAAACUUCAUAGGUACAUUGAUCGUGACUGGCAGAUGACCCCUAUUGAUUUUCAGGUCACUAGGUCAAAGGUCAAGGUCACAGUGACUCGAAAUAGUAAAAUGGUUUCCGGAUGAUAACUCAAGAAUGCUUACGCCUAUGAUCAUGAAACUUCAUAGGAACAUUGAUCAUGACUGGCAGAUGACCCCUAUUGAUUUUCAGGUCACUAGGUCAAAGGUCAAGGUCACAGUGACUCGAGACAGUAAAAUGGUUUCCGGAUGAUAACUCAAGAAUGCUUACGCCUAGGAUCAUGAAACUUCAUAGGUACAUUGAUUAUGACUGGCAAAUUACUCCUAUUAAUUUUCAGGUCCCUAGGUCAAAGUUCAAGGUCACAGUGACUCGAAACAGUAAAAUGGUUUCCUGAUUAUAACUUAAGAAUAAUUAGGCCUAGGAUCAUUAAACUUCAUAGGAACAUUGAUCAUGACUAGCAGAUGGCCCCUAUUGAUUUUCAGGUCACUAGGUCAAAGGUCAAGGUCACAGUGACAAAAACGUAUUCACACAAUGGCUGCCACUACAACUUACAGCCCAUAUUGGGGGCAUGCAUGUUUUACAAACAGCCCUUGUUACAUUUCAUUUCCAUUUGUCUUUUGUAUUCCUGUUUUGUAUGCUUUGAUAUAUGAUCAAUAAUAUCUUAUAAUGCGAAAUACGCUAAGAAAUAUAGCACAACACACCGUAAUUAAUUUGUUUGUGAUGCAUCUAAGAACUGCGUUGAAAACACCGUUCAAGUGCUAAAGAUGAUUGCAACGAUGUGUGAACAAGUCGGUAAUAGCAUGCAAGUGAAAAUGACGAGUGAAGUAUGCUAUAGCAAUCGAACCACAUGCAUAUGCUUCGAGGCAGAAAAAGUGAAUUAUAUAAAAUUAUUUGUUUGCCUCGAAUUUUUUAUAGUAAAGGAUAAAAUUAAGCGAUGCUGAUUAAAUCUGCAUAAUGAUAUUAUCAACUUGAUUUUAUAUAUACUUAUGGUUAUUCAAGUAACCGCGUUUUACUACAUAUAUGUCGUUUUCUGCUUAUCAUUAAUUUACAUUAAUUCAGACAAUAAAAGUGUGCUCAGUACACCUUCAUUGCGUAAGUUAAACAUAUAGAACGAUAAGUUAACACUAAAUGUUAAUUUACUUUUUAAAUCUUGAAAAAAAGAUUGUUUGAUUGUUUGAGUGUUUUCUUACUGUCACGUAUAGAUCGGUGACAUUUUUUCAAAAGUAUAGUAUUU